rnacentral:misc_RNA from 1 species
ACAAACUUGGUCAUUUAGAGGAAGUAAAAGUCGUAACAAGGUUUCCGUAGGUGAACCUGCGGAAGGAUCAUUCACAAUUUUUGCAUGAAGCAGGCAUCGCCCUGCUUCGAGCAAUAAUUACUCUCUGAGACUACAUAUACUCUAGUUCGUUCCAUAACCGGGAAGAUCUAGAUAUAUGCGGUCCUCAACCUUGUGUGCAUUGUACUGUUUCGUCAUUUCAAAUGAAUAUAUACGUCAGAGCAUGAAGGGAAAUGUACUUUUUUUGCAUUGAUAUGUAUUUCUUUUGGGAUGAGGAGGCAACAUCAUACCAAACCUACAAGUUAUUCAUUUAUUGACUGAAAAUAUCAUUAUGAGAAUAUCAUAAAGAAUACAACUUUCAACAACGGAUCUCUUGGCUCUCGCAUCGAUGAAGAACGCAGC